rnacentral:rRNA from 1 species
UACGUAGGGAGCAAGCGUUGUCCGGAAUCAUUGGGCGUAAAGCGCGCGUAGGUGGCUCUAUAAGUCCGUUGUGAAAGUCAAAGGCUCAACCUUUGAAAGCCGAUGGAUACUGUGGAGCUAGAGUACGGAAGAGGCGAGUGGAAUUCCUGGUGUAGCGGUGAAAUGCGCAGAUAUCGGGAGGAACACCAAUGGCGAAGGCAGCCUCCUGGGCCAGCACUGACGCUCAUGCACGAAAGCGUGGGGAGCAAACAGG